rnacentral:lncRNA from 1 species
GGACAGUCUUCCAGCUGAUGGCCAAACUUAAGUCACACUGCAUUAUUUCCUCCUCAUGCAGCAAUUCAUAUUGUUACUCCUAUAACCAGAGAAAAGUUGAAAUAUUCCUCGAUAUUAAAACAAAGACAAGAUGUAAAUAAUAACAACGCAAGCUUAUUCUAAACACUUUCCUAUUCUCAUUAAUUUCUUACUGCAGUCCUUUUUUUGUAGUGUCAGUGGAAGUAGGGAGAAUGUGCAUUUCAUGGCUUAUAAAAGUGUUGACAGUGCAGAAUAACAAAUUUAAACAUGAACUUUGCUCUAUUCGUUGAGUCUCUCUCCAGUCACGGUUUAAAAAAGGUUUGGAAUCUCACGGUAUCAACUUUGCUGUGUGCUAGAUGUUUCUUUUUACAGCCAAUGGCUCGAGGAAACUGUGCAGACACGGUGAUUUGAGCUAUCUGAUUGGCCAGUGUUAGUGCCUAUAGGUGCACUUGAUUUUCUCUCUGGGCGGAAUUCUACCUUCAGAAACAUGAAAUGGUUCAUGUGUCUGUCCCGGCACUAGGGAUUUCCGAAUCAAGUGCACCUACCACUAACAGCGCUAAAUGAAGGGAUGCGGAAUCAAGUGCACCUACCACUAACAGUGCUAAAUGAAGAGAUGCUGAAUCAAGUGCACCUACCACUAACAGCGCUAAAUGAAGGGAUGCUGAAUCAAGUGCACCUACCGCUAACAGCGCUAAAUGAUCACGUUUUACAGAAGUGUGAUCGACUACUAAUGCCUUGGAGAUCGACUACUAAUGCCUUGGAGAUCGACUACUAAUGCCUUGGAGGUCGACAACUAAUGCCUUGGAGAUCGACUACUAAUGCCUUGGAGGUCGACUACUAAUGCCUUGGAGGUCGACUACUAAUGCCUUGGAGGUCGACUACUAAUGCCUUGGAGGUCGACUACUAAUGCCUUGGAGAUCAACUACUAAUGCCUUGGAGGUCAACUACUAAUGCCUUGGAGGUCGACUACUAAUGCCUUGGAGAUCGACUACUAAUGCCUUGGAGAUCGACUACUAAUGCC